rnacentral:lncRNA from 1 species
GGCGACCUUACCCUGUGGCUCCGGGACAGGAAGGCUACCCCGACGACAUACAAGUCCGCCCCCUUCUCCUCUCCUCUUGGAUUUCUUCUUCUUCCCUUCCCUGAGAUGAGAUGUACGUUCCUGCCUCACGCACGCAGCAACUGGACUCUAUGCACAGAGAGGAGGAUGAAGACACCCAGCCAUGGAUUUUUAGCAGCACUCACUCAAGGAAAAAGUGCACCACCUCCCGCCUCCCCUCUCUAUUUGAUUCAAUUCUACAGCUGUGUAUGCGGGUUCCUCACACCUUGUUGCUCUGUUGGUGUUCGUGCUGGGCUGCAGGAGACCUCAACACGCCAAUGGAUGCAGCCAGCCUCCAACUCACCACGCACCUGCACCAACUUGAUGUAGGGAGAGGAGGAGUGAGGCUUCUCUCACGGGAUGAUGCCCAGCCAUGGGGCAG